AGAGGACCUCACGGUCAGAGAAGGAAGACACAUCACGGAAGAUACGUCAUCUGGUUGCGCGCGGUGCUUCUUCACUUUCGCUUGCUGCCGGGAGAGGAGUGGGUGUGCUUUCCAAGCCGGGCGCCUUCAUCAAACCAUGAGCCGUGCAGCUACACUUGUGGCUGGUGAAGACAAACGACUGCCCGAGUCUGCCAUUAUUUAUGCUACCAAGUUGUUCCCAAAAGCACGAGUGCCACUCCUAUGACUGACUGCUCCUGGCAGAUUGCUCAGGUUCCUGUGUAGCCUGAACAUGGUUCCCCAUUAACUUCGUAAAGAGACACUGGAACUUGGGAAGGAAAAUACAGCAGAGAUGGUGGUACCAGGAACUUGGCUAAGAAGACAGAAGCAACUUCUUGUAUUUAUGUACAGUGGUCUUUCCAACUGAUAGUUACAAAGGGAGAGGAAGUAAUUUAUUGUUUGUUUAUUUAUUUGUUUGUCUAAAAAAAAAAAAGUGAGGUUUUAUAAUGUUCAGAUUAUGUGAAAUAGUUUUUUAUCCGUAUAAACAGAUAAAACGCAAGGUUGUUGUAAACAUUCCUAGCUUCGAAUAAUGUGCGUAGGCACUCUGUGGGAGGCAGGAAUCGAAUGGGAAUAAGCAAGUAGUUUUAUUUUAAAAUGUACUGAGAAUCUUUAUAACAUCUUCUCUGUGGUUUAAUAUGCACAUGUAACUGCUGGAUUGGUACAACAGGUUGUAACAAAUCAGGCAUAUAAAGCCAAGACCUAAUAAAGAUUUGCAUAAAUGGACUAUAUCAGGUCUGAAGGAACAAAUAUAAAUUUAUAUAUAAGUUAUGCAAAUAUAGAAAACUUGACAAGUACCAAAAUGUGCAUUUAACUGAUAGUUAGCGGCCAUAAAAAGAAUAUUUGGCAAAUAAUAUGUGUAUAAGAAAGAACUUUUUACAGUAAGUAUAUAAUAUAUAUCUACCAGAAAAUAAUAACCACACUUUUAAUAUCACUUAAAUAUAAUUUUAUCUACAGAAAUGGUUGUAAAAAUUAUUCCAGUCUCAAGGGCAAUAUAUGCAUGUUUGCUUUAAAAUGUCUUCUUCCCCUCAAGUUAAACUCUAAGGAAACUUGUGUUUAAGUAACAUCAAGAUUUUGAUGCAAGCCAAGAAACUCAGAACUAAGGCUGAUACAAUCUUCGGCGCAUGCUGUGAUAUCUAUUCCUCCUCUUCACAAAGCCAUGAGCAAGGGAUGAGGUGUCAGCGUAAUGCUGAAUUUUCUGGCUUUUCUCAGCUCAUGUCACAAUAUAAACAGUGCUUAAGCAUGGGGAGAGGGGAUUGUAUGUAAUAACAAUAUAGGGUUACAUUAGACAAUUUUCCAUUUUUUCCCACUUAUUGCUGAAUAGGCUGUUUUAUGACUUUUGGAAUUCAAAUUGCAGCUAAUUUGACCUGUGCUUGAGUGUGUUUGGCUUGAAAUGCAAAUGUCUUGUCCAGUCAUAUAUCCCCAAGGUCUCCAAAAGAAAUACAUAAAAAAUAUUCUCUGAGCCUCCCAAAGAAAAAAUACAUCCCUAAAUGCAAAAGAAAAAGAAAUAAGGUAUGUUCUUUUGUGCAAUAUACAUGCACACUCCAUCUAUAAGGCACAUCUUUCUGUUUGAAUUCUAGGAGCAAGAAUAGUAGAGGUGUUCUGACCAUUUUAUAUUAUUCUUUCUCUAUUUUUUUUCAUCUGAGGAGAAAAUGUCUAGACUCUGCUUUCACAAUACUCAUGAUCAAAGAUCUAUACACAUGUAGAGAGCACAAAUGCUUUUGAAUUACAAGGGAUGCUCUGAAAGUAAUGCCUCCCACUUUAUUAUGUUGGCCCAUGAUGUCAGAGGUGGAUGUUUUGUUCUAUGACAAUAGAGGCUGAACCUUUCCUCCAAUAUUCGGUUACAUUUUUUUGCUGUCUGAUGAAUGGCAGCAGAGGGGUAGUCUGACAAAAUGGCGUGGACAUGGAAGUGUAUAUGAAGCAGAACAGUCAUUACCUUCAGAGCGAUUUUUUUUUUUUUAAUGACUGUAAUGUAAUAGUUGUAUUUUGCACACAGAAUAAACCCUUUGUGCAGCCUACUGUUUUAGUACUGGGUGAAGUCUACACCCAUUACCAUCUUCCACUUUCUACACUGCUCCUCCCCUUCCCAGACUUUUUUCUUUUCCUGUUCACAUUUCUCUAAUGCUCCAGUUCUGUCCAUAAAUCUGGACAUUGCAGCCAAAGCAGUAGUGGACUGGAGAUAGAAGGGAAAGGUCAAGUAGAGCUCUGUAUAUUUUUAGUGGCUAGAAGUUAUACUGAGAAAGAUAAAGAAAGGUGAUAGGAAAGGAUGAUAUCUGAAGAGCAGUCAAUGAGGAAAGGAAACUGAUAAAGUAGAGUGGAGAGGGAAAUAGCUUCAAGUAGGGGGAAGGAACCCAGUGAGCACAGAGGAAGACUUCAUGUGGUAAGCUGGACCUUAAAUGUUGAGAGAUGAGAAAUAAUAUCUUUAAAAUUAAAAGAAGGAAAAAUAACCUAAGGAAAUCCCCAAAGCCCAAGAACCCUGCAUCUACAGUUAGAUUGCCCAAGUGCACUUCCCAUCAGCACAACCAUUUCAAAUCAAGGAAACCGCUAGUGAGGCCAGCAUUAACCAACCUCAGUUUACACAUCUUACCACCUAAACAUUACAGUACCCAUAGCUAUUUUCAGCACCCUCAACCUCAUAAUAAAAAACCUUUAAUUUUAGCAUAUGACCUUGUAUCCAGUUCUUCAAAAAGUGUCUUUGUUCUGACCUCAUGUUUAUCUUUCUGGUGGCUAAGUUAUUAGCUGUCUUUGCUUGGCGACGACAAACAUCAAAGUAAGUGUCUUUGAAAAGCAUUUUGCGAAAUUUGAGGAACUGCAUAGGUAUUUUAUGUUAGAGAUGAAAGGAUGUUUUUAAGUAGAACAGAUGAGGCUGUGAAUGUAUAUGUACAUUACAAAGUUUAUUUAACAUCCUGCUUCUAUUUUUUUCAGUAUUCCAGUAUAUUAAGCAUCCUCGAUCACCCCAGAUAUUUCAGAAAUUUAUAUUAAUGCUGGUAUUUUUGUUGCUAUAUAAUAUUGCUUGUAUCCAGACUAUUAGCCUUACUUAUGCUUUUUCUGUGAUUUUGCAUUUCCAAAGUUUUUUUUUCUUCCUUGUUAUUCUUUACAACACUGUGUGUGAUUAUUCUGCUAAUUUUUCUAUAAUUAAAAAAUAUAUAUAUCAGCUCUUUCAGUACUAGCAGAUUCAGAAUUUCUCUUCCUUUCUUAUGCUACUUGACUGGCUGUGGAAAGUGAAAUUUCAUUCCAUAUUUUUUGUUGGCUGUUUGUUGUCUAAGUAUUACACCAGAAUAGUACACACUGAUGAAGACAUUACAGAGAAUGCUGUAAGAUAAAGAUGGCACCACAGAACUAGAAGUCUGGACAAAUCAAGAUAGUGUGAUACAUAUGCGAGGAAAUAUUUAUGUGUAUAUGCAUAUGUAUAUUGAAAUUAAUAAGCAGUCAGUUUUCAUGCUGUUUUCAAAUGAAAAGAAAAUAACACUGAGACAGAGGAAUGUUACAUGUGGUGUUUAUAUAUGGAGAUAAUUGAUAUCUGAUUCCUAAGCAGUUGACACAUUCUCUUGGUUCAGCAAGCAGUAGUUUACACAGCAGUCUCCUCAGAAGUUCAUAUGAAUAAGUUGUCUGGCUCUUUUUCAGUCUUUUUCUGAGAACAAAAUAUACAUUCAAAAAUUGGAUAAUCAGGAUCUCUCUCUUUCUAUUUAAAACUUUCAAGUUACUUCCCUAAAUAAAACAGCUAGUUACUGAGUUCAUCUUAGCUCAGAAAGUUGGUUUUGCAAACUAUUUAGUGCAGCUCUCGGUGUAAAAAGAAAAUAUUCUGCAUUUAACUUAGCACUUAUCUCC
ensembl:lncRNA